ACCGGCGGGGCUGUGGCCGCCUGCAGGGGGCCCAGCCGCGUCGUCGUGGCGGCUGUAAGAUGAGGCAGCUUUGGCAGAGAACGGCAGCGGAAUGACACGAUGGGGCUCAGGUGCGUGCAAUCCUAUAUAAGUGUGUUAACAGGCGACAAGGAGGUUUCUUAUGGAUGUUUCUGCGCACAUGGCUUACAUAAGUGCACAGUAAUGAUGGUGGGCCGCCCCGCAGCAGGAGUUCUAGUUAGGAUAGGUAGGAAGCAAGUGCGCUCGGGCGGGCGUACUAAAUUGCACGCAGUUGCACAUAUUCGUGGCCUUGGUCGCAGGGAUCGAUUUUCCAAACUUGCACCAAUUCCUGCAAGAGAGGGUUAGUAGUGUUUGGGCUCGAGCAUGGGCGCGAUUGCCCUUCCACUCAGCCUUGCGACCUUGGUAGCUAUCUUCUUUCUAGCGCUUCAGCCAGCAUGGAGUUUAACACAGCAAGGCGAGCUCAGCGCCGAUUCGAUGCCGAACCGCAUGCCCUGGCAGCGCGACAGCGACUGGGCGCCCGAGUACGAGAAGUAUGUUAACGACCUGCCUGGACUGGUGCGGGCGCAGCGGCGGCCAGGUGAGCUCGCAGACUCGGGCGCCGCGCCGAGUGCUUGGCGCUCGGGGUCCCGGAUUUACCUCCGCAGGGGUGUUGACUGGAGAGGGUGAGGGCCGGCAAAGGGCCCCGGGGCCCGCAGCUGCUUCCUACCGGCACCUAACGCGCUACCGCUUUCACUCCGCAUCCGCUUCAAUUCGGGUGCCGCCGGACAAUUGUCCCGGCUCCUCUCACACGCUCUCGCACAGCUGGGGCACACGUCCUGCCCGGCUCCCUGCCACGCAGCCCACCCAGUCACCCAUGCUCGCGGCCUGCCAAUGCCUGCCCUCCUCCCUUCCGCUUACAUAAUCCACCGCCACUCACAUUGCCACACCGCCGCCGCUCACCACCAUUCGCCGCACCGCACCCGAACACUGCUGCAUAGGUGUGCGUUGGAUGACGGUGUUCGCCAUGUCAGGAAUGGAGGAGGAAGCUAGCCUGCUGCUCAUGAAUGCCCUCACCUCCUUCCUGAGGUUCGGGGGUAGCGGCGGAGGAAGCUACCUGGUAGCUGCCACCUCGGCCGCCGCGCUGGCCGGCUGCCGGCGGCUCCGGCUGCCCUGCUGGAACGCCAGCGCGGUGGUGGCGGCGGGCAUGGCGCCGGCGGCGUGUGCGCACCUGGGGCAGGCGCGGCUGUGCCCGGCCCUGGUGCGCUACCUGCAGCGGCACGGGGCACAGGGCGCCUACCUCAGUCACGGGUAGGACGCGGGGUGCGGCGGCUGAUAGUGUGUGUGAGGAUUGAGGGGCGUUGAGGGGUGGCGGGUGAAAUUGCGUGUGUGUGUGGGGGGGGGGGGGGGUGUAGAUACCAGCCCAAACUAAACCAAACCCAAUGCAAUAAACUGGGGGUUCGGGAGGUGGGAAGCAGGGGCAGGGCAUGUGGCGUACCUUCAUUCCUCCAAAACCCCUUCCCCUUGUGCCCGCCCCCCCCCCUGCCUCUCCCACCUCCUGCAGCUACCACCUGGCCUGCUGGGUGAAGGUGCCGGUGGUGGCGGCGCUGCUGAGGGCACUGCCGCCGCCGCCCGACCCCGGGCAGCAGCCGGCGGCGGCGGCGGAGUGGGCGGCGGGCGGCGGCGGGGGGCUGCAGGGCGUGUUCCUGUCCGACCAUGACGUGGUGAGCAGGGAGGGGAGGGGAGAGGAGAGGGAGGGAGGGAAGUGGAGAGAGAGGGCUUCGUGCCAGAGCCCAACGACAAGAGGGAGGGAGGGAGGGAGGGAGGGAGGGAGGGAGGGAGGGAGACAGUGGUGAGGUGUAGUCCAGUCCGGGUGUGUGGGGCAAAUGGACUUUGGUGAGGAAGGGGGCAAAAGAAGGGGGGGCGAUAGGAGCGGCGCGGGCGGAAGGGGCGAAUUGCAUCGCCCACGUGCCCAUGCCGCCACGUGGCCACGUGUCGCGGGAGCCUGCACAUGCGGCGGCAGCGGCCAUAGACCCGCUGGAGCUCAAUGCAAGCGGGGCUGCGAUUGACCAACGGUGUGCAGCGGCCCAAGCCGACACACGGCAGCGGGGUGCGCAGCAUGGGGACAGCCCACACGCCGCCCCCACAGAGCGGAUCCAUGUGUGGGUGGGUGUAUGGUACUGCAUGGAACCCAACGGCGCUGUUCCCCUCUUUCCUCACCCGGCCAACACCCACCCACCCGCCCGCCCACCUGCCCGCCCCCCUCAUACACAGGUGUACCUGAAGCGUGUCCCCGACACCCUGGACGCCUUCUUUUUUGGAUCCAAAUUCAGCAGCAACAGCAGCCAUCCACCAGAUCCGGAUCCUGCAGCCGCCACCGCCGCCCCGCCGUACGACGUGACCGCCAUGGGCGAGCACGGCGGCAUCAACAGCGGCGUGGUUGCGGCGCGCAACACGCCUGCCGUACACGCAAUGUACGACGCCUGGUCCCGCCUGAUCACGUCCCGUGACUCGGACCAGGGGCAGCACCUCGAGCUGCGGGGGAAGCACUGGGUGCCGUGUCGGGCGCGGGGCGACUGCCCGGGCGCGGGGCCGACCGUGGCAGCCCUGGCCAGGCACAACCCGCCCUGGGGCAAGGGCCGCAUCUGCCCGCCCGUUGACCGGUCAAACCACACCCACUGGGUCUGGUACGACGGCAAGGGCGAGGUACGGGACCACUGUGCCGUACGGGAGCGGCUGUACGCGCACAUGAUCUGUCUGGGCGGUUCGGAGAAGCUGCGCGCAGCCAAGGCCCUGGGGCUGUGGUUCCUGGAUGAAACCGACCCAUGGGUGACCAAUGAGGCCGCCAUUGCGGCCGCCGGCCUGCCGUGCGCGCCGCCGAGUGACGUGGCGCGGCUGUACGUCAUGCAGCCGGCGCCGCCGCCAGUGCCGCCGCCGCCACGGGGGCGGGGGAUCUAGGGAGCGGGGUGGCUGCGGCGGCGGUGGAAAGAGAGGCAAGGCGAAGGGGACGGAGGAGAAGUGGUGAAGACUGCUGGGGGCGCAUCCGAUGUAGCAGGAGGGCAGGCGGGUGGCAGUGGGUAGAUGUGGGGAAGUAGAUGGGGAGGGGGCGGUGCGCGUGAAGGGCAGCAGCCGGUAGCCAAACUGGAGGCAGGGUCUGACAAAGAAGAGGCAGGGGUGUAGGCAGGGGGCAGGGAAGAUUUGAUACACUCAGACGAGGAUGGCGCCGCGGCAGGGAGGAAGGCGGAGCGGGCGAGGAUGGGGUGGAAGAGCUAGUCGGCAGUUAAGGCGGAGGCGGAAGAGGAGUAGUGUGUGCUCACACAAAGUGUGUGUGAGGGGGGGGGCGCAUGGCGGGCACUGCACCGAAAGGUGUAAUGGAUGGAAGGACCAGGUAGUUGUGAGCAGUGAGCGACGGGUUAUGGCUGUAGUGUGGUGGGAGGCGCGUGGGCCGUGGACACCAGACGCGAGGGCUGUGGGGCUCUGACGCACACGGAGGAGGAGGCACCAAGGCACGGCGGCCUGGGCCCAGGGCGCGAUGCCACACGGUACUGAGAGUGCACUGACCAGGCGGGCGGGGAGGAGGGGCGGGCAGGCACCUACGCCCCCUGCUGCCCUUGUAACCCGACCGCCCGACCAGCACCACUGCACUGCCCGUGGCAAGGCCUGCUGUGGCACUCAUGUGCGCACUGCGUUCCCCCCCCCCCCACACACACACACAGCCACGCACAGCCAGCCAGCGGGCUGCGGCGAUACCUGGAACCGUGGCAACUGGCAGUCGACAUCUGUUGGCACCGCACCGCACGCCUGCGUCGUCUCACGCACUGGCGCACCGGCUCGGCGGCGAGGGCGGCGCCUGCCAGCGGCCGACCAAGUCCCAACCACCGCACGUCGGUCGCCAACCGCUGCAAAUCAGAGCCGACGAUGCGCGCUGACCCCGUGUCAUGUACGGGGCUCACGGCUGUUCUUAAGCGUGCGGGUCGCGAGGCUCGCGGCGUGUCGGGCGGCCCCUUGUCAGCGCUGCAACGCUCGGGCUCUGGAGCGGGCCGGCCCGCAAGUCGACAGGCCGUGGUGCCGGCUGGCCCUAGGGCCGCGCCCUGAUGCGAGCGCUCAGUUGCCGACUAGAAAACCCUUGCUGCGCUUCCCUACACAACAACAGCGCCGACCACAUCCUCGCUUGCUGUGCCACGCACCGAACUCGCUUCAAACCCGUGUCGGCACUUCUGAACACGCGCAUCGCCGGACCGCCGGUUGCUGACGCCACCCCCAGCCUUUAGGUAAAGUAUUCCACCACAUCCUGCUGAUGCGCUUGCUCGCUAGUCCAUCAGACUUCGAUAUCAUCCAGCGGUGGCGCGAAGCAGGAGCGCCCGUCGACAUGCGCGACUGCACUCGCACCAAGCUAGCGGCUGAGCCCAAGCCCAACAUCUAAUUGGCGCUGUUGCUGGGUAUGAAGUUAGCGCUACACUCAGCCCGAUGAAGAGUUUAUGACGAGCGACGGUUCAGAUGCGUUCCGGAGCUGGACCACCGUCACGCAGAGCCCCAACAAAGGCUCCACAUGUGCUAAUGCAAACAACAUGUAUCACUUGUAACCAGCAGCUUUGCCAAUGUGCAUGAUUUGGCUUAGCGAGGCAGUCGCAAGCCUGGCGCGUGGCGCAUUCUUGCAGCGCGCCAGCCCCCGCAGCUUUAGCGGUCCAUUGCAAGCUCAAUGGGCCACGUCGCAAUGCACCAGCGGGCGAGCGGACAGCGCACGCUGGCGCGCGACCGAUCGGGCGCGGGGUCGAUCGAGAUGGCCGGGUACGGCGAUCGGCGCGCGAGAUGGGACCAUGAACCCCUUCUUAAGCGACGCGCGCUCGUGAAAAUAUCGUGACCGGCUUCAACCAGUCCCCACACAUCAGUCAAAAUGGCCUUCGCUCUGUCCUUCUCCCGCAAGGCUCUGCAGGUGUGCAAGCUAGGGUCGCACAUCGCUUAGCGAAACAACUCACGUCACCUUUGUUGGGCUCAUGGGCCCUCGUGGAGCUUCGGGAGCUAACCUGCUGGCGAUGGCGUGUCUAUGUGCAGGUGUCCGCCAAGGCCACCGGCAAGAAGGGCACCGGCAAGACCGUGAGUGUUCCGGCAUGCGCGGGGCACGGGUUCGCGCUGGGCUUCAGUCUCAUGGAUCCCCUUGCGGGCUUGGGCUCAGUGGCAGUGUUCUAGUCAGCAGCGCCGCGGGGAUUCUUGAGUUAUUGCCACCGUUUGCGCCUGUGGCUUCGCACAUGGCAACCCGCUUAAGCAACCCUUCAACGCCUUAUGCGGAUCUUCACUUGCUGGACUCUAGGCAUGUUCUAGGUACAUCAUAUAUGCCAUGCAUUGACUACCAUAACUAAAUGCGCGCCCUCCUUCCUCUUUGCUUGCUCUUCAGGCUGCCAAGCAGGCCCCCGCCAGCUCCGGCAUUGAGUUCUACGGCCCCAACCGCGCCAAGUGGCUGGGUGAGUGCUGGGAUGGCGUAUGGGAUAGUGGAUCUGUGUAGCGACAGGCUCGCGACGGGACUUGUCGGCACAUGGUAGGUAUCCGUCGCUGAUCCUAUCGACGCUCGCGCUCGCAUACAUGAGCCAGUUGGCUUUGAGCAGCCAGCCUUGUUCCUGCCAGAAACCCAGCGCCCAUGUUGAAGCAUGCAUGCUGUCCAACACGUCGGCCUGACCUUGUCACCACCCCCCUUGUAGGCCCCUACUCCGAGAAUGCCACCCCCGCCUACCUGACUGGCGAGUUCCCCGGCGACUACGGCUGGGACACCGCCGGUCUGUCGGCUGACCCGGAGACCUUCAAGCGCUACCGCGAGCUGGAGCUGAUCCACGCCCGCUGGGCUAUGCUGGGCGCUCUGGGCUGCAUCACCCCCGAGCUGCUGGCCAAGAGCGGCACCCAGUUCGGCGAGGCUGUCUGGUUCAAGGCCGGCGCCCAGAUCUUCUCUGAGGGCGGCCUGGACUACCUGGGCAACCCCUCCCUGGUGCACGCCCAGAACAUCGUCGCCACCCUGGCCGUUCAGGUGAGGGGCUAUGGCAGGCGGAUGUGUGAAAGCCGGGUAUGCGAAGAAAGCUAUAUGCGCGAUGCUGUGGGAAGGGUGCAUGAUCUUGGUUGUGCACACAGCGCUCCAGCGUUGCCAGCGGGAGCCACCCAGCCAAAAGCACCGGCGCUACACGUCCUUGUACUCCCUACUUUCACCGCACUAACCGCACCCCUCUGCUUGCCCUGCUCCAUAGGUUAUCCUGAUGGGCCUGGUGGAGGGCUACCGUGUCAACGGCGGCCCCGCCGGCGAGGGCCUGGACCCCCUGUACCCCGGCGAGUCGUUCGACCCCCUGGGCCUGGCUGACGACCCCGACACCUUCGCUGAGCUGAAGGUGAAGGAGAUCAAGAACGGCCGCCUGGCCAUGUUCUCCAUGUUCGGCUUCUUCGUCCAGGCCAUCGUGACCGGCAAGGGCCCCAUCCAGAACCUGGACGACCACCUGUCCAACCCCACCGUGAACAACGCGUUCGCCUUCGCCACCAAGUUCACCCCCUCCGCGUAAAUUCUGUUCUCAUGACUUCAAUCAGUCAGUGAGCGGCAUUUGUUGCGUCUUUUUGAAAGCGUAAGAGCGGACGAAGUGUAUGAGGAGCAAGCGAGAUCGCGUCGCGUCGUGAUGGAGUUGAUGGUGUGAUGCAGGCGGAUGGAGGCGGAGAAUGAUGUGUGCCGUGUGUCGUUUACCUAGAGAAGACAAUUUUUAAACCGCAGCGUUUGUGGUUUACGCGGUCCCGUGGUGCGCGCAAAUGCGUAUGCCCCCCGUGUAAU
rnacentral:lncRNA from 1 species